UACGUAGGGUGCGAGCGUUGUCCGGAAUUACUGGGCGUAAAGAGCCCGUAGGUGGUUUGUCGCGUUGUUCGUGAAAACUCACAACUCAAUUGUGGGCGUGCGGGCGAUACGGGCAGACUGGAGUACUGCAGGGGAGACUGGAAUUCCUGGUGUAGCGGUGGAAUGCGCAGAUAUCAGGAGGAACACCGGUGGCGAAGGCGGGUCUCUGGGCAGUAACUGACGCUGAGGAGCGAAAGCGUGGGGAGCGAACAGG
rnacentral:rRNA from 1 species